GUAACCUGCCCUUAACUCUGGGAUAAGCCUGGGAAACUGGGUCUAAUACCGGAUAUGACCCGUCACCGCAUGGUGGUGGGUGGAAAGAUUUUUUGGUUUUGGAUGGACUCGCGGCCUAUCAGCUUGUUGGUGAGGUAAUGGCUCACCAAGGCGACGACGGGUAGCCGGCCUGAGAGGGUGACCGGCCACACUGGGACUGAGACACGGCCCAGACUCCUACGGGAGGCAGCAGUGGGGAAUAUUGCACAAUGGGCGCAAGCCUGAUGCAGCGACGCCGCGUGAGGGAUGAAGGCCUUCGGGUUGUAAACCUCUUUCAGUAGGGAAGAAGCGAAAGUGACGGUACCUGCAGAAGAAGCGCCGGCUAACUACGUGCCAGCAGCCGCGGUAAUACGUAGGGCGCAAGCGUUAUCCGGAAUUAUUGGGCGUAAAGAGCUCGUAGGCGGUUUGUCGCGUCUGCCGUGAAAGUCCGGGGCUCAACUCCGGAUCUGCGGUGGGUACGGGCAGACUAGAGUGAUGUAGGGGAGACUGGAAUUCCUGGUGUAGCGGUGAAAUGCGCAGAUAUCAGGAGGAACACCGAUGGCGAAGGCAGGUCUCUGGGCAUUAACUGACGCUGAGGAGCGAAAGCAUGGGGAGCGAACAGGAUUAGAUACCCUGGUAGUCCAUGCCGUAAACGUUGGGCACUAGGUGUGGGGGACAUUCCACGUUUUCCGCGCCGUAGCUAACGCAUUAAGUGCCCCGCCU
rnacentral:rRNA from 1 species